rnacentral:rRNA from 1 species
AUAAUAAUUAGCCUCUUAAUUAGAGGAUAGAAUGAAUGAAUCAACGAGAAAACUACUGUCUCUUUACUGCAAAAGGAAAUUUACAAUCAGGUGAAAAUGCCUGCAUUUUAUACAAAGACAAGAAGACCCUAAAAGCUUUUAAGUAAAUAUGCAAAAUUAUCAAAAUUCCUUUUUUGUUGGGGCGACCAAUAGUCAAAAACACUUUAUACCACACAGAUUUUAUACAUCUCUCUACUUAGCUAAACACAUAUAAGUAAGUUACUUUAGGGAUAACAGGCUAAUUCUUUCCAAGAGUACGCAUCAACGAAAGAGCUUGG